GAAAUCCGAUAAGUAAUGUGAAUUGCAGAAUUCAGUGAAUCAUCGAAUCUUUGAACGCACCUUGCGCUCCUUGGUAUUCCUUGGAGCAUGCCUGUUUGAGUAUCAUGAAAUCUUCAAAGUAAAUCUUUUGUUAACUCAAUUGGUUUCUACUUUGGUAUUGGAGGUCUUUGCAGCUUCACACCUGCUCCUCUUUGUUCAUUAGCUGGAUCUCAGUGUUAUGCUUGGUUCCACUCGGCGUGAUAAGUUAUCUAUCGCUGAGGACACUGUAAAAGGUGGCCAAGGUAAAUGCAGAUGAACCGCUUCUAAUAGUCCAUUGACUUGGACAAUACUUUUAUGAUCUGAUCUCAAAUCAGGUAGGACUACCCGCUGAACUUAAGC
rnacentral:misc_RNA from 1 species